AGUAAAUUGGUUAAGUUAGAAAGGGCGCACGGUGGAUGCCUUGGCACUAGGAGCCGAAGAAGGACGGGACUAACACCGAUAUGCUUUGGGGAGCUGUACGUAAGCGUUGAUCCAGAGAUUUCCGAAUGGGGGAACCCACUAUCUUUAGUCGGAUAGUAUCCUUACGUGAAUACAUAGCGUGAGGAAGGCAGACCCAGGGAACUGAAACAUCUAAGUACCUGGAGGAAGAGAAAGAAAAAUCGAUUUCCUGAGUAGCGGCGAGCGAAACGGAAAGAGCCCAAACCAAGAAGCUUGCUUCUUGGGGUUGUAGGACACUCUAUACGGAGUUAC
rnacentral:rRNA from 2 species